UUAGUUUUUUUAAAGAUGAAACAAAGAGGUAAUUAUUUAUGUGGCACACGUCUCCAGUACGCUUGUGUGUGAUGUGUUCAUAAUUUACAUAGAUUCCCAACCGAGUUAAGUAUAUACAUACAAAUAUAACACUAUAUGUUUUUCGUUAUUGUUUCUGAGGCUCCAAGGACUCCUACGGCCUAUAAAUGCCGAUGGAAAUAUAAAAUUAACAACAGAUUUUUUUUAAGUCGUCACGCGCCGGUGUCCUAGAUCAUCAGUCAACUUUGAAAACUGCUCAAAAUGUUCGCGAAACUGUUCAUUCUGUUCGCCGUCCUCGUUGUAGCUCUGGCAAGACCUCAACAGAUCUACUCUGGUUACGGCUACAACAAUUACGGAUAUACGUAUCCAGGCUACGUCGGUUAUCCCGGAUACAGUCCCCUGGCCUAUGGAUCGUACGGUGGCUAUGCUGCCUCUCCAUACAACCUCGGCUACGGCUACGGCUACUAAUUGAUAUUUUCUUAAGCACCUCUGUUAUUAAUUCAAUAAAAAUAUUCUAAAAAACAUUAUGAUUCUACUGUUUAUAUCAUUUGAAAUAUUGAUUAAUAAUUUUCGUGGAUUACUUUCGAUUUACAAAACGCCUUUGUUUUUGAGUGUUUUUUUUUCUCAUGUCAACUACCAUUUUGUGAAUGUUUGCAGAUAAGAUUCAAGAGGUACGAAUCAUGAAUCGGUUUUCUUAUUUGAUAUUUUUUUUAUUUUGAGUUUGAAAUAAAUUGUACUUUUAAAAA